UGGCGGCAGGCUUAACACAUGCAAGUCGAGCGGUAGCAGAUCUAGCUUGCUAGAUGCUGACGAGCGGCGGACGGGUGAGUAACGCGUAGGAACCUGCCCAGUAGUGGGGGAUAGCCCGGGGAAACUCGGAUUAAUACCGCAUACGCUCUACGGAGGGAAGAGGGGGCUUCGGCUCUCGCUAUUGGAUGGGCCUGCGUGAGAUUAGCUAGUUGGUGAGGUAAUGGCUCACCAAGGCGACGAUCUCUAGCUGGUCUGAGAGGAUGAUCAGCCACACUGGGACUGAGACACGGCCCAGACUCCUACGGGAGGCAGCAGUGGGGAAUAUUGCACAAUGGGCGCAAGCCUGAUGCAGCCAUGCCGCGUGUGUGAAGAAGGCUUUCGGGUUGUAAAGCACUUUCAGUGGGGAGGAAGGCCUCGUAGUUAAUAGCUGCGAGGAUUGACGUUACCCACAGAAGAAGCACCGGCUAACUCCGUG
rnacentral:rRNA from 1 species